UAGAAGGAUUUCGAAGGCCUUUUACACCCCCGAAAGAAAUCAGUGCCAGACGACGUUGGCCGAAAGCGAUUGCAAAUCGGUGCCGCCAUGGAAGAGAGGCCAUCGCGAGUCGACCUCAAGCGUCCCCUUCCCGAUGAUAACGAUGACUCAAGCAAACCUCCGGCGCAAAAGAGAGUAAGGUUUCCUAAGGGUAAGAAGGUGAAGCCUGGAAGCGAAAAGGUGGAUGUUUGGCAGCCUUCUGCAGAUGGUACCAGCGAGCGGGCUGAUCCUCGUCAUGCUGCAAAGGAGCGUGCAUUGCGACGGAAUCAGAUUAUUGCUGAACCCUCCACUGCAGCAGCUAAGAAGGAAAAAUCUGAAGAUGGAACUAGUGAGCGGACUGAUCGCCGUCUUGCUGCAAAGGAGCGUGCAAUGUGGCGGUAUCAGCUUAAUGCUGAACUCUUUGUUGAUGAAAACAGAGGGAUGGCUCGUGACAUAUCAGCUGCAGAAGUACAUUACGAGGAUGGCGACACAUUUGUUGAUGAUGGGAUUCAGAUAGAACCUUUUAACCUGGAAAAAGAGCGGGAAGAAGGAUAUUUUGAUGAACAAGGAAAUUUUGUUGAAUAUGUUAAUGAAAAUGAAAUUAAGGAUGCAUGGCUUGACAGCAUUGAGUUUGAUCCUAAACUUGCUGAGAAAGGCCCUAUGAUGAUGAGUACAGAGGAAGAUAUCCACGAGCUUUCAUCUCAAGAUGUUGGGAAAAUGAAGAGGCGUAUUGCUGAUGUGCUUGAGCCUGGAGAAACAGUUUUACAAGCAUUGAGAAGGCUGAAAGGAACUUCAAAUAACAAAAAGGAAAAAAUGUCUUCAGAAACAAAACUUCUCUUUGACCAGCUGACCGAAGAUGCUAUGAAGCUGAUGGAGAAUGGUGAUUACAAUGUGUAUGAUGAAAAGCAGGAAGUGUUUGAGCGUGAGGCAGAGGGAUAUGAGAGGGUAGCACGAGUAAGAGGGGAAGGUACCUCAAUGGAUGUGGCCAAUGACAACAUAUCCAAUGGUGAGGAUGCACUUGAUAUGUUUGCAGAAGAUGAUGAUACCACUACCACAAAUCCAACCUCAGAUGGAAGUAAUUUGGUUUCUGGUGCUAAUCAUGAUAGAACUGGUCAGCCUUCUGAAAGUGGAGACUCACUAAAUGACUAUGUAUAUGAUGAGGCUUCUGGGUAUGUAUUACUACAGCAGUAGUUUGGGAUACUAUUAUGACCCGUCUUCAGGAUUGUAUUGUUGUGCAGCAUCAGGACAGUGGUAACUUGCUUGCUUCCAUCUUGUACUCAUAUAAUGAGGCUACUGGUGAAUAUGAUGAAGUUCAGGAGGCUGCAUCAAAUACAGGCUAAUGUUUAGAAACAAUGUUGUUCCAUACAUUACUGGCACCACUCUUUCCUCUUCUAUGUAGGCUUGACUUCUAGCCUAAGUAGUCAGAAAACCCUUAUCCUUCUUCUUCUUCUCCUCGUCUUCUUCUUCUCAUCUUCUUCUUCUUCCUUCCUUUUUGGGUAGAAUUGGAAGAAAAACCGUGCUAGAUGCUUGUGCUGCACGGAAUAUACAAUACUUGAAUUCUUGAUGUAGAUGUUAUAUAUAGCUGUUUCUCAUCCUUCGACUAUGAGUAUAAUAAUAGGUUGCUUGUUAGAUUCCUGUGAAUGGAAUAUUGGCCAUCUUUUGAAAUUUUCAACGUGUAAUUCAGCCAACUCCUUGGCAUGAAAUAUGGGAAGAAAGCUUGAAAAACUUUUGUUA